GUAUAUGUGAAUUUAAUCAUGUACCUAGCAAGCUGUUCAGUUUAUUUUUCAAAGACGCGACACUGCUCUCAAAUCAUGUGAUGAACCUGUAUUUCGAGCUGUUUGUGUAAGAAUAGUUGUGGCUAAUUGGACCCAUCCUCAUAUUUAGAUUUAGUUAGUCGGUUUUCCCGAAAGGAGCAGGGGAGGAGGCGAUAUAAAAUUUCCCGGCGGGGCACUGGACCUGAAUAAACUCGUUGCGUCAUAUUUGCUUGUCAAGCAAUUUAAGUAUGCAUUCUAAAGGAAAUUAUACGGUGCAGCAGUUUCCGGUUAAGCAUUGUGCAUAUGGCACUCUCUGAUCACCAAAUUGCUUAAAAUUCAAAUCUAGCUGGAUAGGAAGAGCAGAAUAACCAGAAUCAUCUAAAUUAGUGUUCCUAGUUCAAGUGGAUUCUGAAGAAUACGAGCAGAUUUGCUUUCAAUUCUAAGUUAUGAGCAUCAAAGCAGUCGAUAUAGCUAUAAAACUCACGCUGGAGGGCCAUAGUUAGGUCACCCUCUUCCAGUCCUGGAUAUUUGCCAUGGUUUCAACUUCUUGUAUAAUCACUCAAUUGAUCUACUUAAACAAGCUAUGAUGAAAUGCACGGGGAGUUUGUAGCAAUUAUCCAUGACGACCAAUUCAAGCGACAUAAAAGUUGUGCAGAUCCCGCGCUUACUGGUGAGCAUGUUCAUGUCAAUUUCCUCUAAGUUCUUGGGCUGAUUCGUGUUAGGACAUACGAGUAGCAUGCAACGGUUUUUUGUGUAUAUAGGAGUGCGUAGUUCGUUUUCCCCGACAACGUUACAUCCAUUUCUGUUCUUUUUUAGCCAAACCAAUUAAAACGUUGUUAUUAUUAGCUCAUUAGUAACUCAGACCUGGGCCACAUUCGAUUUGUAAAUGAGUAAUUGUUGUGCAUUGUUAUAGCUUUUAGUUUC